AUUGAACGCUGGCGGCAUGCCUUACACAUGCAAGUCGAACGGCAGCACGGGAGCAAUCCUGGUGGCGAGUGGAGAACGGGUGAGUAAUGCAUCGGAACGUGCCCAGUCGUGGGGGAUAACGCAGCGAAAGCUGCGCUAAUACCGCAUACGAUCUAUGAAUGAAAGCGGGGGACCGUAAGGCCUCGCGCGAUUGGAGCGGCCGAUGUCAGAUUAGGUGGUUGGUGGGGUAAAGGCUCACCAAGCCGACGAUCUGUAGCUGGUCUGAGAGGACGACCAGCCACACUGGGACUGAGACACGGCCCAGACUCCUACGGGAGGCAGCAGUGGGGAAUUUUGGACAAUGGGCGCAAGCCUGAUCCAGCAAUGCCGCGUGCAGGAAGAAGGCCUUCGGGUUGUAAACUGCUUUUGUACGGAACGAAACGGUCCUGGCUAAUACCCGGGGCUAAUGACGGUACCGUAAGAAUAAGCACCGGCUAACUACGUGCCAGCAGCCGCCGUAAUAC
rnacentral:rRNA from 1 species